GGGGAAUAUUGGACAAUGGGCGAAAGCCUGAUCCAGCCAUGUCGCGUGUGUGAAGAAGGUCUUCGGAUUGUAAAGCACUUUAUGUUGGGAGGAAGGGCAGUAAGCUAAUACCUUGCUGUUUUGACGUUACCGACAGAAUAAGCACCGGCUAACUUCGUGCCAGCAGCCGCGGUAAUACGAAGGGUGCAAGCGUUAAUCGGAAUUACUGGGCGUAAAGCGCGCGUAGGUGGUUCGUUAAGUUGGAUGUGAAAGCCCCGGGCUCAACCUGGGAACUGCAUCCAAAACUGGCGAGCUAGAGUACGGUAGAGGGUGGUGGAAUUUCCUGUGUAGCGGUGAAAUGCGUAGAUAUAGGAAGGAACACCAGUGGCGAAGGCGACCACCUGGACUGAUACUGACACUGAGGUGCGAAAGCGUGGGGAGCAAA
rnacentral:rRNA from 1 species